rnacentral:tRNA from 1 species
GCCUUCGUGGUGUAGUGGUCAGCACUCUCGGCGUGUAUCCAGAGGUCCGUGGUUCGAGUCCCGGCGAAGGCA